AUCUAAAUAGCUUAAAUGAGAGCAUUACAUUGAAGUAGUUAAGGUAGUAAAUUAUACUUUUAGGUA
rnacentral:tRNA from 1 species